AUCAUGAGCAGAAGAAUGCAAGUUAUGUUUCCUAUACUAAUGAUAUCACUUAUUCAAUGGGUAUACUGGAAUUCUCUUACUGAUUUUAUAAAGCUUCCCAAAAAACUUUAAAACUUUAAAACUUUUAUACUCCCACAACAUUUUAUUGUCUACUGACUCAUUGAAUAAACUGUAGUUAAUUGCUUAAAUAAUUGUUAAUAAUAUAUAUUGAAAUAAAAAUAACAAUUCUUAUCAUUAUAUGCUGUUAAUGAUUCUCUAUCAUGAGUUGCAUGAUCUAAUGAUUUUAAGUUUAUAUACAUUAUUAUUAUUAUUAUUUGCUUUUUAGGGCCAUAUCCCCAGCAUAUGGAUGUUUCCAGGUUAGGGGUCAAGUCAGAGCUGUAGCUGUCAGCCACAGCCACAGCAACGUAGGAUCCAAGCCGCAUCUGCAACCUACACCACAGCUCACGGCAACGCUGGAUCCUCAACCCAAAGAGCAAGGCCAGGAAUCGAACCCGCACCCUUGAGGAUGUUAGUCAGAUUCAUUAACCACUGAGCCAGGAUGGGAACUCCCUAUAUACAUUAUUUCUUUCAAAAACAUUACAGAAGGCAACAUCUAGGGCUAUACAAAAGUUAGAGAGUGUAUGUAUUUUGUUUCCUUGAAUUUUUGUAGACCAAAAUAGGUUAUUAAAGAGCCAGUUUUUAAUAAUAUUCUGUAAAAUUUUAUAAAUCACCAUGUUAUUUUACAAUUUAUAAAUUGAAUUUAUGAGUAAUGUGCUUAGAUCCAUCCAGAAGUACUACUUUUAAAUAUUUAAAGUAUUAAUAUAUGUAUGUACCUUGUAUCUUAAAUACAGUUAUAAUUUUCCCUAGGCUUGAUUUUUCCUACUUUCUCUCUCUCCUUGUCUCUAUACAUGUAUAUACACAUAUACAUACAUAUAUAUGUAAUUUCUUAGAAUACUGUUUACCUCUUGCUUUAAUUAUUGCUUGCUCUUUUUGAGAAUAUUGUACUCAAAUGCAAUGGUGGGGGAAUAAACAUGCUGAAUUGCAGGGGUAUUAGACAGCUGAGGGUAAAGUGUCAGAAUUAGACUGACAUAAAAUAAAAAAUCAAAAACUUGAAGUAUAAAAUGAAAAUGCAAAAUUUUGAAAGGUUUCCAUUGUAAUAUACAUACAUAUUAAUGAAAAUAAUAGACUAAAUUGAUUGCUGAAAGAUAUAAAUGGACAAUACUGCUUUAUGAAUAUGCCAGUAAGAAAAGAUUUUGACAGGAAUGGGAAAUUCUUCAAGUUCAAUGGGAGGAUUUUCAUGUAUACAGUUUUCACUCAGUAAUGAGAGUUACUUGUAUGGCACUUUGUGUGCCACUUUAAAAGUAGACCAUUAAUACUCAAAACCAGUACCUAGCCCCUUUUCAUUUUUUCUAUAGCUUCUUAAAUGACUUAAAAUUAGAAUCCAAUCAAUCUUCCUCUAAGGAGAUACUGCUAUAUAACAGACAAAUGUUUAAUCCAUAGCAAAUAUAGGCUGAAUUUCAUUAAAUCAAAAAUGGUUAAAAAAAAAAAAAGAACAAAGAUGAAAACAGUAUAAAAGGAACUCUUGCCUAAUCAUUUAUAUUGUAUUAAGUAUAAUUUCUGAUUGCAAGAUCAAAAUAUAGUGACUAGGUCAUUUUUCACUUAUUCUAGAUAUGGUCAGCAUUUUUUAAUUGAGGUAAAUAGUAUACAAAUAUACUUAGAGAAGAGUAAGUAUUGCUGAAUGAUAUAAAGUUUGGGACUACACUUUCAUUGCAUAAAUUACUAGGCUGCUGAAUGAUAUUACUUUAUUUUCACAUUUAGAAAUAGCUAAAGUAUUGUAUACUGUGUUUUUCCUAAUUUAUUUUUAUUUAUUAAUUUGGAAGUGAAGGUAAAGGAAGCUAUUUAUAAAUAAUACUAAGUCCAUGCCCAUUUGUUCUUAAAUAAAUCUAGAUAUACCAUAGGGAUCAAAUGUGAUGGAAAUCCUAAUUGCCUCCAAACCUGAGUCUGCUCUUUCACUAGCAGAAAGAAAAUGCCUUUAUAAAAUUUAAUGGAUGAAAUAAGAAAUUGCACAUUUGACUCUACUGAAGGAAAAAAAAGUUUCUCAUAAUAUUAAAGUAAACUUAAUCUAUCCAGGCCUCCACCUAGCAUUUGCGGGACUGGGGAAGAAGUGUAAAUUUAGCCCCUGGUAUCACAUGCCUAAAUCAAGUUAAAAAAUUGUUAGAUUAAGUAUGGUCUAUGAUCCUAAAAUGACAAAGAUCAUUCAAUAACAACCUGAAAAGCCAAGUUGGAAUCCUGAAUUCAUGGACUAUUUAGAGUUCCACGCUGGACUGUGGGGAUUGAGAAAAGCUGCCCUAAGCCUGAAGUGUGUCUCCACUCUCUUCCUGCCCCCAUUUUCAUUUUGCAAGAUGAAGGGCUUUAUAUCCAUUCAAGAAGAUACUUCAGUCUACUCUCCGGCUUCCUCUCAAUUAGCUACCCCCUUGGCCCAGGGUUUUGCACACCAGUUUAUAUUCAAGAGGGCAGACUUGGGCAAGAGGCUUGAAGAGCUCUUGGAAGCAAUUUUAGGACCUUUUGUUUUAUUUUUCCUAUGAGGCGUAUUGUCUUGAGUACUUGUACACUGGCACUGACAGAGAGGCAUGAAUAUUACACUUACAUUAUGUGAACACAUUCCCUUGCUCCAUGGACUCCUCAUGCAUGGUGGAAGAAGAGAGGGAAGGGUGUAUUCUAAAAGGCAAGUAGGUCCUGGAACUUGAGCCCUCUUCCCUAUGUUUGGCACAGCACCGUUGCUCUCUCUAUUUACUGUUCAUUUUUACCACAGAAUAAAUCAAAGAUGCAAAUACAGCCUCAAGACACCUUUAACAAAUGUUUGUAAAUGAAAGUUCACUAAUAAAAUAGAAUGAGAUACAUCAACACAUAGCUACUCAUUUUGAAACUAGAAAGCAAACCCUCCAUAUUUUAUAGAAUUGACAUAUCUACAGUGCUUUACCCAGUGUUCCAUGUGACAAGAGUAGGUAGCAUAUGGAGUCUUUACCUUAACGUAAUUUAAUAUCCAGUUCUAAACAUAAGAAACACAGAUGUAAAUAAGAGAAUUUGGGAUUACCCAUUGUGGCUUAGCAGGUUAAAGACCCAACAUUGUCUCUGGGAGGAUGCAUGUUCAAUCCCUAGCUUCCCUCAGUGGGUUCGGGUUCUGACAUUGCUGCAAGCUGUGGAGUGGGUUGCAGAUGUGGCUUGAAAUCAUUGUUGCUGUGGUCAUGACAUAGUCCUUCAGCUGCAGCUCCUAUUCAAGCCCUGGCCUGGGAACUUAACAUAUGCUGCAGGUUGGCUAUAAAAAGGAAAAAAGAAAAAGAAAAUAACUUUGCAGAAAAGUGCUGGGGAAUAUACCGGGAAAUUUCUAGGAGGGAGAUGCUGUUGUGAGCUACGGUGAUUAAAGAAAGGUAAAUAGAGGAAGUAGAGUUUGAAUGUGGUCUGGGAAAAUGAUUUUAUGAGGAAAAGGAAGGGAUACAUUACAGUUGAUUUAAAACAUGUGUACAAAUUGAUGGUGAAGGGAUUGCCGAAAACAUUCAGAAAUUUACAGGAUGUAAAAAUUGUAGAUAAAAUAGUAUGAUUAAGAAUAUUUGAAUAUAUGAUUAGAAGUUAAUGGUCAGGACAAAGUAUAAAAUAUUUGGAAUAUUAAACUAAAGAAUUUUGACUUUAUCUUAUGAAUAGUGGGAAAAACACCAGAUGGAUCCUUAACCUACUGAGUGAAGCCAGGGAUUAAACCUGUGUCCUUAUGGAUGCUAGUCAGAUUUAUUUCUGCAGAGUGAUGAAAAGAACUCCUGAUCUCUUUCUCAAUUCCUCUCCCUCCUACUAGAAUGGAAGUUAUGUUUGGACAGGGGUUUGCCCUUUUGCUUUUUAUUGUAUUCUCACCUCUUAGAAUACUCUUCCCAUAGUAGGUACUCUAAAUUUUGAAUGGGCAGGAAAAAAAUGAAUGCAAGGAAAUUGGUACAAAUGCAAACCUCUGCCACAGCCUGUUUUGUUACCCUAAGCCUACUUUUUUUUUUCUUUUUUUUAUUCUACUGUUCUAUCUCCUCCACUCACUAACCUCACUAUAGUUCAUAACUCUAAGGGCAUUUAGCAUCAAACUCAUCAGCCUUCCUCUUACUUCUAUGACAUUUCCAGACUUACAGUCAUGAAAGGAAGCACAUAUCAUGUUAGUUUUCCAUCUUUUCAGAAAUAUGUUACCUUAAUAUACUUUAAAGUUUUCAUAAUAUCCAAAUCUCUCAUCUAUUUUCUUUGUAAGUUACUCCAAUUUAUGCAAAUUUCCUUGAAUUCAUUUAAAAUUUCAAGAAUCUAAUCAAUAAUUGCUUAGUCUAGGAUUUAUAAUUUUCUUCUGUAGGAUGAGUCUUUGACAGAUAUACUCACUGAGAUUUUUGAAAUACUACAUAGCCAGUGAUAAAGAAAGCAUCAGAAAUUGGUAGUUUCUGGAUCCUCAUUUCUGAUCCCUAGAAAUGGAUUUUGCCAACUAUUUUGCUGUAUGAAUACAGAUAUAAAAGUCAUGAACAGUGAAAUGAAAUAAAUAUCCGUAGAAACAUAGUACACUUGGACUAAAAAAAAAAUAGGAUAGGAAAAUACACAGACACUGAUCUGGCCCUUAAUCAUCUGUAAUUCUGGGGAGCACAUUUCUUCUGAGGCUCAGUUUUUAACAGAGAUAAAAUGGGGACAAAACAGCUUGUCAGCCUGGCUCAUGGAAUUUCUGAGGGAAUAAAAAGCAGUGAAUGUUUAUCAAAGUAUUUUAUAAAUAUUAGAAUCCAUGAUAAUUGUAAAUAUAAAAGGAACACAUUUUUUUGUAUCCACCUUCCUGUUAUAGAUGUUCAUUUGGUUUUUAAAUUUGAAUAUUUUUUUUACUACUCAGUGUUUUACCACUGACAUUCUAUAUAUGCCUUCUGCAAACAAAUGUUAUUACAGCCAAAGAUGAAUAACUUUAUGUGCUCAGUGUCUUAAUUUAAAAAAUAUUGUUUUGAUUCCUUUGUAGAGAAAAUAAUUACACACUAAUUUAGAUUUUGUGAAAAUUAGCAAUUAGGUACUUGGAUUAAAUAAGAUAGUUCAUCAAUCUAUCUAUUGUGUUUGUACUGUUAAAACUACAUUUCAUUUAUUCAAACAUUUUAUUGUUCCUGAUCACAAGUGAACCAUUAUCCAGGUAAGCAAAAUAUCUGGUCUAAAAAACUUUAGUUUCCAAAUUCAUGCAAUACCAUCACUAUCCUCUUAUAUCUUAUUCUAAAAUACUCAGAUAAAAAUAGAUUAAAUAAAAUAUGUGUAAAAACAGAAAUAUACUUGGACUCUCUCUUUUUUGGAUUUUCUAAGUCUCGAGCAAAAACAAAAGAAAAGGAAAUUGUACUCAAGUCACAUAUACACCUAAAGUCUCUGAUUUAUGUGAAAUCUUCUGUUUGGUAGAGGAUAUAGAGGAAAGAAAGGGAUAUUGAAUUUCUGACAACAUGCAUGCUUAGUGCUUUGCUACCAAUGUGGUGCACACAUAUUUAUUUAUUUUUCCUGUGCUUUCUGAAUUGAAACCGGUACAUUAUAAGCUUAUCAUACAAAUGAUUGCCAAAAGAAAAAAACAAAAACCUUGCCAUUUAUUUUCUAUUAGUUCUUCUUCUCCUGAGGUGACUGCCCUACACAGAGCCAUUUUAACCUCCUCAUGUUUUUGACAGUGGGAACAUCUUGACAUGACUCCAAUUCCAAUAUGUUGGAAGAAUAAAAACACAUUCACUUUAAAAUUCUGAAGCAUAUUAAUGAUACCUUAGAAAUACAUCUUACUUAUGAAAAAAAUCUAUUAAUUUGUACUUUUGUUAACACGUUUCAGUGUGACUAUGUGAUUAAGGUUUCACUCUGUGCUGACUGCAGCUGGAGCAACGGCAGCUG
rnacentral:lncRNA from 1 species